AGUGAACGCUGGCGGCAGGCCUAAUACAUGCAAGUCGAACGGCAGCACGGCAGAGCUUGCUCUGUGGGUGGCGAGUGGCGGACGGGUGAGGAAUACAUGGGAAUCUGCCCAGUCGUGGGGGAUAACGUAGGGAAACUUACGCUAAUACCGCAUGCGCCCUUCGGGGGAAAGCCGGGGACCUUCGGGCCUGGCGCGAUUGGAUGAGCCCAUGUCGGAUUAGCUAGUUGGCGGGGUAAUGGCCCACCAAGGCGACGAUCCGUAGCUGGUCUGAGAGGAUGAUCAGCCACACUGGAACUGAGACACGGUCCAGACUCCUACGGGAGGCAGCAGUAGGAAUAUUGGACAAUGGGCGCAAGCCUGAUCCAGCCGUGCCGCGUGAGUGAAGAAGGCCCUCGGGUUGUAAAGCUCUUUCAGCCGGGAAGAAAACGCACUCUCUAACAUAGGUGUGGAUGACGGUACCGGAAGAAGAAGCACCGGCUAACUACGUGCC
rnacentral:rRNA from 1 species